rnacentral:rRNA from 1 species
UACGGGGGGAGCAAGCGUUGUUCGGAAUCACUGGGCGUAAAGGGAGUCUAGGCGGUUUGGUAAGUGGGAUGUGAAAUGCCCGGGCUCACCCCGGGACCUGCAUCCCAAACUGCUGAGCUUGAGUACAGGAGAGGGUGGGGGAAUUCCUGGUGUAGCGGUGAAAUGCGCAGAUAUCAGGAGGAACACCGGUGGCGAAGGCGGGUCUCUGGGCCGGAACUGACGCUAAGGAGCGAAAGCGUGGGGAGCGAACAGG